rnacentral:rRNA from 1 species
ACUACGGGGGGCAGCAGUGAGGAAUAUUGGUCAAUGGGCGGAAGCCUGAACCAGCCAAGUAGCGUGCAGGAUGACGGCCCUACGGGUUGUAAACUGCUUUUAUACGGGAAUAACGCGCCUUACGUGUAGGGCUUUGCAUGUACCGUAUGAAUAAGGACCGGCUAAUUCCGUGCCAGCAGCCGCGGGAAUAAGGAAGGUCCGGGCGUUAUCCGGAUUUAUUGGGUUUAAAGGGAGCGUAGGCCGCAUGUCAAGCGUGCUGUGAAAUGUCCGGGCUCAACCCGGGCCUUGCAGCGCGAACUGGCGUGCUUGAGUCCGCGGAAGGCAGGCGGAAUUCGUCGUGUAGCGGUGAAAUGCUUAGAUAUGACGAAGAACCCCGAUUGCGAAGGCAGCUUGCUGCAGCGGAACUGACGCUGAUGCUCGAAAGCGCGGGUAUCGAACAGGAUUAGAUACCCUUGUAGUC